rnacentral:rRNA from 1 species
UACGUAGGGCGCAAGCGUUGUCCGGAAUUAUUGGGCGUAAAGAGCUCGUAGGCGGUUUGUCGCGUCUGCUGUGAAAACCUAAGGCUCAACCUUGGGCUUGCAGUGGGUACGGGCAGACUAGAGUGCGGUAGGGGUGACUGGAAUUCCUGGUGUAGCGGUGGAAUGCGCAGAUAUCAGGAGGAACACCGAUGGCGAAGGCGGGUCACUGGGCCGCAACUGACGCUGAGGAGCGAAAGCAUGGGGAGCGAACAGG